rnacentral:rRNA from 1 species
GACGAACGCUGGCGGCGUGCUUAACACAUGCAAGUCGAACGAUGAAGCCUAGCUUGCUAGGUGGAUUAGUGGCGAACGGGUGAGUAAUACGUGAGUAACCUACCUUUAACUCUGGGAUAAGCCUGGGAAACUGGGUCUAAUACCGGAUACGACCAAUCUCCGCAUGGGGUGUUGGUGGAAAGCGUUAUGUAGUGGUUAUAGAUGGGCUCACGGCCUAUCAGCUUGUUGGUGAGGUAACGGCUCACCAAGGCGACGACGGGUAGCCGGCCUGAGAGGGUGACCGGCCACACUGGGACUGAGACACGGCCCAGACUCCUACGGGAGGCAGCAGUGGGGAAUAUUGCACAAUGGGCGCAAGCCUGAUGCAGCGACGCCGCGUGAGGGAUGACGGCCUUCGGGUUGUAAACCUCUGUUAGCAGGGAAGAAGAGAAAUUGACGGUACCUGCAGAGAAAGCGCCGGCUAACUACGUGCCAGCAGCCGCGGUAAUACGUAGGGCGCGAGCGUUGUCCGGAAUUAUUGGGCGUAAAGAGCUUGUAGGCGGUUUGUCGCGUCUGCUGUGAAAGGCCGGGGCUUAACCCCGUGUAUUGCAGUGGGUACGGGCAGACUAGAGUGCAGUAGGGGAGACUGGAACUCCUGGUGUAGCGGUGGAAUGCGCAGAUAUCAGGAAGAACACCGAUGGCGAAGGCAGGUCUCUGGGCUGUAACUGACGCUGAGGCUCGAAAGCGUGGGGAGCGAACAGG